GAUGAACGCUGGCGGCGUGCCUAAUACAUGCAAGUCGAGCGAACGGACGAGAAGCUUGCUUCUCUGAUGUUAGCGGCGGACGGGUGAGCAACACGUGGAUAACCUACCUAUAAGACUGGGAUAACUUCGGGAAACCGGAGCUAAUACCGGAUAAUAUUUUGAACCGCAUGGUUCAAAAGUGAAAGACGGUCUUGCUGUCACUUAUAGAUGGAUCCGCGCUGCAUUAGCUAGUUGGUAAGGUAACGGCUUACCAAGGCAACGAUGCAUAGCCGACCUGAGAGGGUGAUCGGCCACACUGGAACUGAGACACGGUCCAGACUCCUACGGGAGGCAGCAGUAGGGAAUCUUCCGCAAUGGGCGAAAGCCUGACGGAGCAACGCCGCGUGAGUGACGAAGGUCUUCGGAUCGUAAAACUCUGUUAUUAGGGAAGAACAUAUGUGUAAGUAACUGUGCACAUCUUGACGGUACCUAAUCAGAAAGCCACGGCUGACUACGUG
rnacentral:rRNA from 1 species